GAUGAACGCUGGCGGCGUGCCUAAUACAUGCAAGUCGAGCGAAGAGACGAGGUGCUUGUCCCUCUUACGUUAGCGGCGGACGGGUGAGUAACGCGUGGGGAAUCUACCUAUAAGCGGGGGACAACUUCGGGAAACGGAUGCUAAUACCGCAUAAAAAAUUUAACCACAAGUUUUAAGAUUGAAAGACGCUUUUGCUUCACCUAAAGAUGGUCCCGCGGUGUAUUUGCUAGUUUGUGAGGUAAAGGGCCUCCCAAGCGAAGGUACCUAGCCGGACUUGGAGGGUGGACCGCCCCCAUUGGACCGGGACCCCGGUCCAACUCCUACGGGGAGCAGGCGUAGGGGAUUCUCCGGAAAGGGCGGAAGGCCGGCCGGAGCAACGCCGCGUGGUGGAUGAAGGUCUUCGGUUCGUAAACCUCGGUGAUUGGGGAGGACGAAAUGUGUAAGUAAAUAUGCACGUAUUGACGGUACCUACUCAGAAAGCCACGGCUAACUACGUG
rnacentral:rRNA from 1 species